GUCACACUAUCAUUAACUGAAUCCAUAGGUUAAUGAGGCGAACCGGGGGAACUGAAACAUCUAAGUACCCCGAGGAAAAGAAAUCAACCGAGAUUCCCCCAGUAGCGGCGAGCGAACGGGGAGGAGCCCAGAGCCUGAAUCAGCAUGUGUGUUAGUGGAAGCGUCUGGAAAGGCGCGCGAUACAGGGUGACAGCCCCGUACACAAAAGCGCAUGUGCUGUGAGCUCGAUGAGUAGGGCGGGACACGUGGUAUCCUGUCUGAAUAUGGGGGGACCAUCCUCCAAGGCUAAAUACUCCUGACUGACCGAUAGUGAACCAGUACCGUGAGGGAAAGGCGAAAAGAACCCCGGCGAGGGGAGUGAAAAAGAACCUGAAACCGUGUACGUACAAGCAGUGGGAGCCCCACCACCAAAGCAUUUGCUGUACCGCGUUGACGGAGCGAAGCGACGUCAAACCGAUAAAACAGCAGUGUAAAGUGAGCCGCAGGGCGCUUUGCGCGACAGCGCAAAGGCAGGCGGUUUCGCGUAGCGAAAGCGAAUGCUUUGGGGUGG
rnacentral:rRNA from 1 species